AAGCACACUGGUGUAUAAGGAUGUGUGUUUCUCACACUAGCAUCACAAGGUCACACAAUUCAACUUUGCCUUUCAUUUCUACCACAAUGAAUACAUUCACCUGCAAGUUUGCAUCACAAGGACUUUCAAGGCUUGUAUUUUGGUUGGGCUAAGAAAGAAUUUUGGUUUUUCUCGAUACAAAACACCUUUAGCUAAGAGAGCAUUCAAAUCAGCACAAGUCAACAUAAUCCUCUUCUUAACUUCAAGCAAUUAUAACCAAUUUUCAAUUCUCUUUCCAACUUUUCAUCUAUUGAUUCUUUUUCUUGAUUUUGUUCCUUAUUUUUCUUUUUCUUCGCAUUUUUCUUUUCGCUUUUCUUGUCAUUUUCUUUUUUUUUUGUAACCUCAACCACCCC
rnacentral:lncRNA from 1 species